rnacentral:rRNA from 1 species
GAUGAACGCUGGCGGCGUGCCUAAUACAUGCAAGUCGAGCGAACGGACGAGAAGCUUGCUUCUCUGAUGUUAGCGGCGGACGGGUGAGUAACACGUGGAUAACCUACCUAUAAGACUGGGAUAACUUCGGGAAACCGGAGCUAAUACCGGAUAAUAUUUUGAACCGCAUGGUUCAAAAGUGAAAGACGGUCUUGCUGUCACUUAUAGAUGGAUCCGCGCUGCAUUAGCUAGUUGGUAAGGUAACGGCUUACCAAGGCAACGAUGCAUAGCCGACCUGAGAGGGUGAUCGGCCACACUGGAACUGAGACACGGUCCAGACUCCUACGGGAGGCAGCAGUAGGGAAUCUUCCGCAAUGGGCGAAAGCCUGACGGAGCAACGCCGCGUGAGUGAUGAAGGUCUUCGGAUCGUAAAACUCUGUUAUUAGGGAAGAACAUAUGUGUAAGUAACUGUGCACAUCUUGACGGUACCUAAUCAGAAAGCCACGGCUAACUACGUGCCAGCAGCCGCGGUAAUACGUAGGUGGCAAGCGUUAUCCGGAAUUAUUGGGCGUAAAGCGCGCGUAGGCGGUUUUUUAAGUCUGAUGUGAAAGCCCACGGCUCAACCGUGGAGGGUCAUUGGAAACUGGAAAACUUGAGUGCAGAAGAGGAAAGUGGAAUUCCAUGUGUAGCGGUGAAAUGCGCAGAGAUAUGGAGGAACACCAGUGGCGAAGGCGACUUUCUGGUCUGUAACUGACGCUGAUGUGCGAAAGCGUGGGGAUCAAACAGGAUUAGAUACCCUGGUAGUCCACGCCGUAAACGAUGAGUGCUAAGUGUUAGGGGGUUUCCGCCCCUUAGUGCUGCAGCUAACGCAUUAAGCACUCCGCCUGGGGAGUACGACCGCAAGGUUGAAACUCAAAGGAAUUGACGGGGACCCGCACAAGCGGUGGAGCAUGUGGUCUAAUUCGAAGCAACGCGAAGAACCUUACCAAAUCUUGACAUCCUUUGACAACUCUAGAGAUAGAGCCUUCCCCUUCGGGGGACAAAGUGACAGGUGGUGCAUGGUUGUCGUCAGCUCGUGUCGUGAGAUGUUGGGUUAAGUCCCGCAACGAGCGCAACCCUUAAGCUUAGUUGCCAUCAUUAAGUUGGGCACUCUAAGUUGACUGCCGGUGACAAACCGGAGGAAGGUGGGGAUGACGUCAAAUCAUCAUGCCCCUUAUGAUUUGGGCUACACACGUGCUACAAUGGACAAUACAAAGGGCAGCGAAACCGCGAGGUCAAGCAAAUCCCAUAAAGUUGUUCUCAGUUCGGAUUGUAGUCUGCAACUCGACUACAUGAAGCUGGAAUCGCUAGUAAUCGUAGAUCAGCAUGCUACGGUGAAUACGUUCCCGGGUCU